UACGAAGGGGGCUAGCGUUGCUCGGAAUCACUGGGCGUAAAGGGUGCGUAGGCGGGUUUUUAAGUCAGAGGUGAAAUCCUGGAGCUCAACUCCAGAACUGCCUUUGAUACUGAAAGUCUUGAGUAUGGGAGAGGUGAGCGGAACUGCGAGUGUAGAGGUGAAAUUCGUAGAUAUUCGCAAGAACACCAGUGGCGAAGGCGGCUCACUGGCCCAUUACUGACGCUGAGGCACGAAAGCGUGGGGAGCAAACAGG
rnacentral:rRNA from 1 species